rnacentral:lncRNA from 1 species
CAAGGAUGUGGGCUAAACAAAUCAAAAAAUUAAACAAGGUUUACAGAAUAUUUUCAAAAACUGUCACUUUAUUGGGAAGCUGAAACCUUAAAUUUAGAAAGCAUUCUCUUAUCAUAAACAGUCUGCAUCGUGUGGCCUAGAACUAUAUUACAGAAGGUGGAACAUUCAUUGUUUCUUGAGUUAGAGAAUCUGUACUGAGCUUAGAAUACUAGGAAUUUAAAGGUGUAGGAACACUGGAAAAAUACAAGAAACAUGUUCAUUUAUUUGCAUUGAGUACACUCCAAGCCAGCAUCUAUGGAGCCUCUUAAAUUUGUUCUUACCGAAAAUGCAUAAGUAGCCUAGUCUGACCAGAUCUAAAUUUGCAAAAUUAAAUAGGCGUGACAAAUUAAACAUUCAUAAGAUAUGAAUACUCAAAGUAUGCCAGCUGUUCUAUUAAAAUACAUUUAGAGAUGCUGGCUGGUAGAGACAUCUUUUGUGCAGUGAAAAACUGUUGGGGAAAACAAUGGGUAGCUCUCUGCCAAUGACAAUAGUCAAAAUAGGUGCAGGAAGGGCUGGAGAAACCCAAAACAGAGCUAGGAGACUGGCCUCGAUCUUUGGUGGCAGUGUCUGAACAUCCAGCUAGAGUGACAUUUGCAUGUAUUGUUCUAGCAGAUAAAUUUUUUUUAAAAAGCAGUUCUGUCAUUGGAUAGGUUGUGCUAUAGAAAAAAACUAAAAUAUGAUAUUAAUGAAUAAUAAAAUACAAUUAUCAUGAGGCUUUUUAUCUCAUAUUUACGUAGCUAGAAUGUAUCGCUCAGCCACAUGACUGCUUCUAGAAAUUGUGAACUUGUCACUUGACAAUAGCACUGCUCGUACUCCUACCUCUCUAUUGUGGUGUGUGCAGACAAGAAAAAAAACAGUGGCAGAAUUGUGGAAGCAGUUUUUAUUUUGAGGAUAUGUCUUUUAUCCACUAAUGGCUUCUUUAUGGUAAUUUCAUAGUUCUAGCCGUUGCAGAAAAAAAGUAGUAGGCACUUCUGGAUUCCUGGUGCCCAGGGUCCUUGCUAUUGGCCAAAUUACUGUUCCUCUCUUUCUGGGCAGAACUGAACAAGGAUAGCAAUUAGUCUAGAUAAAAUCCAUAGAAAUAAACUGUAAACACUUUUGAAAGUUUUUUGGAGGGGGAUGAGGAGAGAAUAAAGCGUGUAACUGAGUUGUGGCACCAUAUACAAUAUAAAAAAUAUUGAUAAAUAGCAAGGCAUUUGACAUAGUAUUCUUUAUGGAAAAGCCAGCAUCAUGCAAUUAAAAUCCAUUCAAUAUGAAAAAGUGAUCAGUACACAGUCCUAAUCUGUACUAUUGCUAUUCAUUAUGUUUUGGUAGAAAAAAAUCUUACCGUCUCAUCAGAUUUUUCAACCACUCAAUAGUUUUGUCUUAAACUUAUUAUUGGUUAUAAACUUCCUGUUUGAUAAAUAAACUCAAGUGGGCAAUCCAAACUUUCCAGCCAUGAAGUGCAAGCCAUAUUAAUAACAGCUGGACUUUAUUUGGAGGUGUACCCAAACAAUUAAAGUGUACCCUUCAGAACAUUAUUUUAAAAAUAAAACUAAAUUAUCACAAAACAACUUGUUUCUCCUCUCCCAAUAUCUUACUUAACAACAAAGCCUUCAGGUCAAACCAAGGCUUCCUUGGAGUUGGAGAGCCUAAAUAAAUGUUAGAGCAUCAAAUACCAGGGGGGGUUCUGAUUCUAGGAAUGAUGUGCUCAAACACUGGAAUUUAGGGCAAAGAAGACUUCUGCAGGCGACUGAUAAGUUAUUCCAAGUGAAAACACUGGAUGUACCAUGGCCCAACAGAAAGGCAAGAUCACUCUGAAUGAUGGCUUACAGUCCAAAGCAGUUAAAUGUUCCCAUCACUAGGUGCAACUGGUGGGAGGGUGAUAUAAAAUCAAAGUAAACUAUUCCCAUUUCCAUAUUGAUAUUUUACAGCUUCACACUGUGAAACAGAGUGGAGCCUGUUUAUUUGGCAUUCAGGUGCUCUUAAUACAAUGAAGGAACAUGGAACCAUUGAUGGGUUGGACAGGUCAGUCUGACAGUGAAAAAACAAUUGCUAUUGUGAUAUGCAAGGCUGUUGUAUGGUAAUUUCUCCAAGAAAUAUGACAAAGAUGGCAUUACCUUGGAGAUAAGUAGAACUAGCUAUAAUUCCACAAGAUGAUUGUGUACAGAAUGGCCUUUUUGCCAGCUGACUUCAAGAGGAAUUUAUCAUGACAGUAAAAUUAGGAGGACACCAGAUCAGGGGCAACAAUUCAAUGCAAUAGGUAUGAUCUCUUGAUCCAUUUAAAAUACACAGUCUGAGCUCUCCCUGGAUUCUAGAACAGAGCACACAGAUGCAGAGACAGAGGAUUACUUACAAUUAUCAUUAUAUGCACAGCCGUCUCCUUGGUCUCUGUUAAUAGGAAUGCAGAAAGUUAUGGUUUAAUAGAAAUGUAAAUCUGGAUGGACAUCCUCCCAUGGUGCCUGGGGACCCUAUGACAUAGCCUACAUGACAGUUUGUAUAGUACACAAACAGGACUGAAUCUGAUUGCUGUAAGUAAAAGGUGCCGGUGUGAUCAUUUGAGUUACCUAAUGUCUGUAAGAUACAUAAACAUCUUAGUGCCAGAGCUAUGAGCAACAUUUAAAUAGAGCUUGAUGCAUUCCUGACAGUCAAUUAUUUUAACACAUUUUCCUUUUUCAACAGCAAAUCACAAUCAACAAGUUCAAUUAAUUUAAAUUCAGAACUGACAGUUAAUCAUCAGUGGCAGAUGAACCAACAGUCCCAUAUUUCUAAGCUCAUUUGGAAAUUGUGGGAGUUUAAUUUCCUCCUGGCGA